AAGUAUCUCCGAGUCCCGUCACGGAUGGCGUUGACGAGACGCUUUGCGUCUCGUCCGCACAUCAGAACGCGAAGCGUUCUGAGGACGGUGAUAGGAGUAACGGCUGGUUGGCACAGCCAUCGACGUUCCUGUUUGACAAGGAAACUGGUGCGUUCGCACCUCAAGAACGGGUCACGUCGUAGACCGUAAUAUUCCAACGUGGGAAUCCUCGCCCUUCGGGCGGGGA
rnacentral:ncRNA from 1 species